GUCAAAGGGUAAGAACUCCUCUCGCUGAUUAAUGGGUAACACUUUGCUUCUGAAGUCAGUGCUUUAAUUUGCAACAACAACAACAAAAUGUUUUCUUUUUCUCAGGUCCAUGUUGUAACAGGUUGGGAAACUCUUCACACAUCCAACGUACCAGAAGUAAUAUACGAUGCAUGUUCUUUGCAUAAGUUUUUUGUUCCUUUUUAAAUUGUAUUACACAUGUUUCAGGGUCGCUCAGUCUCAAACAGUCAACCAAGAUGAAACUCAACAGCCUGUGUACUCCUCUCUUCUCCAUGGUGAUGGUUGUGUCUAUGAAACAAUGAGAGGCUCUGAAGAUGCUGGAACAGGUCCAUAAAGAGAAGUGCAUCAUCAACAAACAUCACUUGUAAUGCAGCUGCAUUAAUCUGUCCUCAACUCAACUGCAUAUAGUCCGCUCUAUAUCAUGGAGAAAAGAAGUGGACUAUUUGUUAUCCUCUAUCUUAUACAGUUCUUUUAUUGUGUUAUAAGCAGAAGUGUGUUUUAAAAUAAUCCUCUCAGUGUUAUUUUCACACUGACCACAAUGUGCAAAGUGGUCUCCUUUGCUGCUUAGUGUUUUUUCUGAUCAAAUCUAUUUGCAGAUGCAUCAGUAAAUAAAUUAACUCAUUAAUAUCAUUGGAUAAAAGUGUUUUCUGGACUAUUUUCAACCAUUUAAUAUGUUUUUUUCCUUGCAUUUGGUCAAAUAUCUUAAAUAGUAAGUCACUAUUGUGACUGUGUGUUAUCCUUUAUUUUUAUUGUAUACCUGUGAGUAUCGUUUUUACAUUAAAUUACAUUUUCAUGUCAGCAAACU